rnacentral:rRNA from 1 species
GCUUACGGCCAUAUCACGUUGAAAGCACCGGUUCUCGUCUGAUCACCGAAGUUAAGCAACGUCGAGCCUAGUUAGUACUUAUAUGGGUGACCGCUUGAGAAACCUAGGUAUUGUAAGCG